GCCACGGUGGUCUAGCGGUUAGAACGCUGGCCUAGUAAUCCUGGGGUCUCGGGUUCGAUUCCCGGCGGUGCCA
rfam:Zootermopsis nevadensis contig16116, whole genome shotgun sequence.